UUCUUCCAGGAGCGCGCAUGAGCGGACGCUGCCUACGGGUGGCCGGGCGGGAUGUAACCGGCUGCUGAGCUGGCAGUUCUGUGUCGCUAGGCUUCUGCCCGGCCGCCGCCGCACAUAAGCUGCGAGGAGGAGCUUUACGACUUCCCGGUCUUCGGGGCCGGGCGCAGCAAGGGCCAGACUCUGCGCUAGCAGGCGCUGCGCGCCAACCGGCCGGCACCUGUCGCAGAAGGUGCAACCGAUCGCACUGUCGCGCAGAAGCUCCUCAAUGGCCAGCGCCAGCUGCAGCCCCGGCCGCCCACUCGCCUCAUCUGAGCCUGGCUGGCAGCCUGCUAUCAAUUACAUUGAUAGUAAAUUUGAGGACUACCUAAAUGCAGAAUCGCAAGUGAACAGAUGUCAGAUGCCUGGUAACAGGGUGCAGUGUUGUUUAUACUUCAUUGCUCCUUCAGGACAUGGCAGAAGGUAAGCAUGAGCAAAUCACUUUUUAGAGGUAACUUUGCUGGACUUGUGAAGAAUGGUGUGCAAGGUCCAGAGCGACUGCAGGAGAGGGAAGGUGGGAUUCCCACAGAGCAGGAGCACAGAUGAGCCAAGCAAGGCCCUGCUUAGAAGGCAGCAAUCAACAGAGAUGCACAGACCUGUGAGGGUGCCGGGACAGCCAUGCAACAAUGCAGCCCUUUUGCUUCCUAAGCUCACCAGUUCCCUCGCUCCACCUCUGAGAGGUGGUUUGGAGAAACACAGCCCUUCUCAAGAGGUUUGCAAGCUACUUAAGUCCUGAAAAUUUCCACAAGGCUGAGUCAAAUCUGCGUUUCAUCAUCUAUAAGAAAGGUACCUAUCGAGAACACCCUGCUGGCCAGUGUGUAAAUAUCUAAAGGAGGACUCAGAAAACACCGGGGAAGUCCAGCCUGCAUGUGGUGGCUGGGCUUCAGUGAAGCAUGGAGCACAACAGGAGUUGGGAGGCAUGCACUGCCCGAGUUUGAAGUAUAACAUGGGAUUUCUCUCCAGAGCAGCCAUGCACUGCCCAGGCUGGAAGUAUGCUCAACCACAAGGAUCAGGGCUGGGAGAGGCGCUUCGGUAGCAAGAAGGUGCCUCUGAAAACCAGCAUUGGGAUGGAGAGGGCUGAAGGCAAGUGCUGGAUGUGACCAUGGGCAGCUUUCAGGCUGGGAGCACGGAUGCCAAGAACCCAAAACACCAAAAAAACUGGUGCUUAGAACCACAGGUCCAAGAACUGAAGGAAGAAAAUGAAACAAUUUAUUUUCAGUACUGUAAACACUGCUGCUAUUCUCUUAGAUGUUUUUCUUCCAUGAUAUACCCUGUAUUGGUUUGUAUAGAUUAGCACAUUAGGUUUCAGAAGUCAUUUUAAACUCCAUCUUCAUCCUCCAUAUUUGAAAUAUUUAAAAUCUACAGAUUUUCAGGUCAAAGUUGUAGAGAUAAGUAAGCUAGAAAACAAUAAUAGAAAACAUGAGAUGAUUGGUCUCAAAUUCCAAACAGGUGACUUGAGAUGUCCUAGAGAAAGCAGCUGGAGUCAUAGCACCUUUGUCUCUAACAGCCGAUACACUCAGAGGCUCAUGUGCUUCUGUGCGUCACCCCCAAUCGCCCUGACAGGUGCACAACUCAACAAAAUAUACUCAUUUAAAACAUCCAAAUAUGUUGACUGAGUGCCUGCUAUGUGGAAAACAUUUUCCUGGGAACUCUGGGGAAAGGAAACACUCAUUUUGAUAUAGAUUAUAAUCUGAAAUCCAUCACAGCUGAUAUUCCACACGAUGGUGUAGCAGACACUUUCCAAGGUCACCACCCAUCUCACAAAAGGAAAUUAAAUCUGAUUCACAGAGCAGACCACAAAGAGCAUGUCUGGACCUAGAACCACAGCAUGUAACCUCGGAAGCAGUGAGACACCAGCCAGCAUGGACAAGCAGCAGGCACUUGAUCUAUACCAGGUGAGGGUGUGGAGACAUGACGUGGUGCAGGGACACCAGCACCCAGUCCUAGUUCUGGUCCCUCUCAGCCUUGUUAGGUCCUGGUUCCUAGGAUUCCAGGGAACAUCCCCACAGCCUCACAAUAAGAUCCUCCUUUCCUGUAUAUGCUAGCUUGGAUGGGAUCCUCUGUUCUGUAAUCAGUAUGGCAACAGAGCAGAUGAAAUAUUUAAUGGUCUUUCAUGAGCACUAAAUUUUGUUUUUUACAAACUAGGUUAGAUUCUGUCAAAUAAUCGUCUAAUGGUGUAUUCGAGUGUAUAUUAAGGAUCUGAUUCAUUCUAUACCCACUAACCAUAACCAAACAGAUUAAGUUUUCUUUCUCAGAAUCUAAUCCUUCAGUUUCUUGGAAGCUGGACUAGUUUCAGAGCAUCUACAAACAUUUCUGGAAUAUUUAACUUACCCUGAAAUAACAUAUGAUAGACAGUAAUUCCCUAAAUUAUUUUCCCCAAUUGUUGCAAAAUAAAGCAAAUGCAGAGUUUCUAGGACUAUAAAAGGAACUCAACUUCCCGGAUCCUAGUAAAGAAACAGGAAACAGCUUGAAGCUCUCUGGUUUGUUUUAUGGCUCAUGAAAAAGCUUUAGCCCAACUUGGCAAAAGAAAGGCAGGGAAAGAGUUCACAUGGCUCUGCACAAACCCAACCCAAUUACUAAUUUCAUGUUAGCCACUCUUUAUGUGGAAUUAGAGGGCUCACAGAUGCCCUGCCCUCCAAAACACGCCACAGGGAGGACACAUUCCCAUCAGCAUCAGGGGUUCAUGCUAACACAGAGAAAAUGCGUAUGACUGCAGGAGUCCAUGCUUGGUUUAAAUAGCCCUGCUGUUGACUCAGAUAUGUACAGGUAGGCAGGAACCACACACUGCACACAUAUACCACAUGCCACCACACACCAUACAUCCCACACACCAAUGUGUGCACAAAUACAUGCACAACCAUACAUACACACCAUACAUACAACACACAUACACCAUACACACAACACACACCAAUGUGUGCACAAAUACACAGCCACAUACCACAUGCACAUGCAAGCACACACAAUGGAGAAUCACUGCCUCAAAAGCUCCUCAUAUGCUAUUAUCUGUCAGAAUGUGAACCAUAGAUCUGAUAUUGCAAAAGAAAUGUGUUUUAUGCAACUUUAUUAAUACAUUUAUUUAAUGUGACUCCAUAUUCAACAGAAACAAUCCAAGAUACUCUCUUAUUUAUAAUAGAAUACUUACUUCUUUUGUGCUUUCUUUAUGGACAUAGAUACAUUUUUCAUGAUAAAAACCUAGAAUAAAAAUUACCUUUGUUUUUAAAAUCUGGCAAAUCAUUUCAAAAUGAAGAUUUUAAAGGAAUUUAAAUAAUUGGACAUGUUAACAAAAUUAUCUGACUUACUAUAUUGACAAGAAAUGCUUUUACUUGGUUGAAUGCAAACAGAAUUGCUUUGUUUCUUAAAUCAGUUUAAGAUAUGAACAAUGAUUUCAGACAGUACCAAGUCCUAGUAACUUAGAAGAAAAGUAGUAUUAUUAAUGACUGAAGCCAUGUGAAGACAUAAAUGAUUAUAAAAUACAAUUACAUUACUACAUUCCUAUGUACCCUAAUAAAAAGUUCUAUUCUUCUGUUGC
rnacentral:lncRNA from 1 species